GCAGAGCUUGAGAGACAGGGUACAGAGGGCAGAGUCUGAGCCAGGAAAGGGUGCGGAGAUCAGUGAGACACCAGACUCAUGCUGCACCCUGGGAGAAGACCAGAAUGGACUGGUUUGGGUUCAAGAUGCCAAGUGGGUGAAACAUCCUCCCUGUCUGUGAAGUCUCCAGAGGACUGCUGAUCCUCUCUCCACAUUCCACCUGGUGCAGGAAAACACCAGAGCAUUAGAAAGAUGCCCAUAAACUUUGCAUGCAUUUGUGUGUCCUUGGUGUUAUAAAAGCACCAUGCUCUACAACUUCUUUACUCAGGUGGCCAAUCUACACACUGGUAUACAGGACCAGAGAAGCUCAGGAUGUAGUAUAGGAAGACAGGGCUUUCCUGAGGGCUGUGGAGGAACUUCCCACCUCCUGCACCAUGCUUUC